GAUUCUCUUAGACAAUACGGAUUAAACGUGUUUUAGCUUUCUGGUGUUUUUUAAUGUGGGCUGAUUAAGAUUCGCUGUGAAAUCCAUGAAUGGGUUUGUAAUGUUACUCUGUCUAAGCUAACCUGGCUUUAAUUAUCUUAAACCUGGUGAAUUAGUUACCAAUCACUUUAUAAUCUGUUCAGAGCUCUAAUCAUUAUGCUGAGGCUACGUUACAGUUACAGUUACAGUUACAUAGAGGUAACGUUACUCCUACUGUAUGAGCUCCUCAGCGUUGUUAAACUAACACUACCACAGUCACUUCUUUUAGCUCAGACAGGUAACUGUAAGAUAACUGUGGUGUUAUAUUAAUGAUUAUAUGAUCAUAAACGUUAUGUUAUUACUAAAGCUAUAUAUACAUAUACAGUAUGACUGCUACUGUUUAGCUUCUUAGCGUUGUGAAACAAAGUUUACUAUCACAGUCACUGUUUUUAGCUCAGGCAGGUAACUGUCAGAUAACUGCUGUGUUAUAUUAAUGUUCAUGAUUCAUGAUUAUAUGAUCAUAAACGUUAUAUUAAACGUUCAUACUUAAGUUAUAUAAACAUGACUGUAGUUUGCAAGGUUUUUCAAGGUAAAAGAAACAUAAUUAUCAUAUGUGUGAAAUUGUUUCUACAUAUAAGUUUUAUUUCAAUGUCUGUUUAGACUUCUCCAGGCUGUCAGUCAUCCUGCAUCCUCUGCCCCAGAAGCUCAGCCUGCAGUCCAGUCUGAAUCCUCACCUGGUGUCUCAGGUGGCAGAAAUACAGUUGGGGACGGGCAUGGUAUGCCAGGUAUGGAUCGGGUUGACAGCCUUGCAGAGCACCUGGUAGAACUGAGGACAUAGACCUCCAUGACUCUCAGCAACCAGCAGGGAAGCACAAUUGUGGCCCUGUAGCAAAACCUGCUGGACGUUGACAGAGGGCCCAGCAAUCUACAGUGGGCUGGUCACUGCCGGAGGCCCCGCUGGAGUCUGAGCUGAAGGAGUUUCUGGUGAAUCUGUGUGCUGGAAAUCAUUCUGUCUGAUGUUGCAGGGAAUCAGACCCAAUGACAAACAUUAAGAAUAGUAUUAUCUUCUUCAAA